UCGUAUCUUCUUUUGGUAAUUGGCUUCCGCUCUUUGCAACCUCAAACACUCACGGUGUUCUCCAUCCAACAUUGCUUCUAUCUCCUCAUAGGACCUCUUUUUGCCUCCCAAUCUACUAGCACUUUCACCUUGCACGCCUUUGAGUUUAUGGGCCAAACUCAACUUAUCAGCUUUGGCUUUGUAAAGGUCCAACUGGAUCUCUUGUUCCUUCUCU
rnacentral:lncRNA from 1 species